rnacentral:rRNA from 1 species
UACGUAGGGAGCAAGCGUUGUCCGGAAUUACUGGGCGUAAAGGGCGCGUAGGUGGGCGCUUAAGUCAGGUGUGAAAACUCCGGGCUCAACCUGGAGACUGCACUUGAAACUGGGUGUCUUGAGGGCAGGAGAGGAAAGUGGAAUUCCUAGUGUAGCGGUGAAAUGCGUAGAUAUUAGGAGGAACACCAGUGGCGAAGGCGACUUUCUGGACUGUACCUGACGCAGAGGCGCGAAAGCGUGGGUAGCGAACGGG